rnacentral:lncRNA from 1 species
UUUUUGGGGUGAAUUCUGGGGAUUUGGGGUUUUUUGGGAUUUUCUUGGGUUUUCGUUGGGUUUCGGUUGGGUUUUGUUGGGUUCUCGUUGGGUUUUUGUUGGGUUCUCAUUGGGUUCCUCUUCUUGUUGGGUUCCUUUUGAGGUCUUGGUCUUCUCCAAGUCCAGCAAGUGUGAGUGCUGGGCUCAUUUUUGGGGUGAAUUCUGGGGAUUUUGGGUUUUUUGGGAUUUUUUGGGGUGUUUUCGUUGGGUUUUGUUGGGUUUUGGUUGGGUUCUUGUUGGUUUUUUGUUGGGUUCUCGUUGGGUUCCUCUUCUUGUUGGGCUCCUUUUGAGGUCUUGUUCUCCUCCAAGUCCAGCAAGUGUGAGUGCUGGGCUCAUUUUUGGGGUGAAUUCUGGGGAUUUUGGGUUUUUGGGGAUUUUUUGGGGGGUUUUCGUUGGGUUUCGGUUGGGUUUUGUUGGGUUCUCGUUGGGUUUUGUUGGGUUUUUGUUGGGUUCUUGUUGGGUUUCCUCUUCUUGUUGGGUUCCUUUUGAGGUCUUGUUCUCCUCCAAGUCCGGCAAGUGUGAGUGGUGGGCUCGUUUUU